CCCCUAGAUGUUCUGGGCCGCACGCGCGCUACACUGAACAGUUCAACAAGUCUUAACCUUGACCGAUAGGUCUGGGUAAUCUUUGAACGCUGUUCGUGAUUGGGAUAGACCUUUGCAAUUAUGGGUCUUCAACGAGGAAUUCCUAGUAAACGCAAGUCAUCAGCUUGCAUUGAUUACGUCCCUGCCCUUUGUACACACCGCCCGUCGCACCUACCGAUUGAAUGGUCCGGUGAAAUCUCGGGACGGCGGCUUGGUCGCUUGCGUCCGACUGCUGAAACUUGAUUAAACCAUNUNAUUUAGNGGAAGGUGAANUCGUANCA
rnacentral:rRNA from 1 species